CCUACGGGCGGCUGCAGUAAGGAAUAUUGGUCAAUGGACGCAAGUCUGAACCAGCCAUGCCGCGUGGAGGAUGAAGGUCCUCUGGAUUGUAAACUUCUUUUAUUUGGGAAGAAACUCCCGAUUUCCAUCGGGAUUGACGGUACCAGAUGAAUAAGCACCGGCUAACUCCGUGCCAGCAGCCGCGGUAAUACGGAGGGUGCAAGCGUUAUCGGGUUUCACUGGUGUGUAGGGGUGCGUAGAAGGGCAGGUAGAAACCUCCGGGCUUAACCCUGAAACGGCCAUGGAUACUAUUUGUCUUGAAUACUCUGGAGGUGAGCGGAAUAUGUCAUGUAGCGGUGAAAUGCUUAGAUAUGACAUAGAACACCCAUUGCGAAGGCAGCUCACUACGGAAAUAUUGACGCUGAGGCACGAAAGCGUGGGGAUCAAACAGGAUUAGAUACCCCUGUAGUC
rnacentral:rRNA from 1 species